AUACGUAGGGGACGAGCGUUGUCCGGAAUGAUUGGGCGUAAAGGGCGCGUAGGCGGCCCGGUAAGUCUGGAGUGAAAGUCCUGUUUUUAAGAUGGGAAUUGCUUUGGAUACUGUCGGGCUUGAGUGCAGGAGAGGUAAGUGGAAUUCCCAGUGUAGCGGUGAAAUGCGUAGAGAUUGGGAGGAACACCAGUGGCGAAGGCGACUUACUGGACUGUAACUGACGCUGAGGCGCGAAAGUGUGGGGAGCAAACAGGAUUAGAUACCCUGGUAGUCCACACUGUAAACGAUGAAUACUAGGUGUGCGGGGACUGACCCCCUGCGUGCCGGCGUUAACACAAUAAGUAUUCCACCUGGGGAGUACGAUCGCAAGGUUGAAACUCAAAUGAAUUGACGGGG
rnacentral:rRNA from 1 species